UGGCGGACGGGUGAGAAAUGUCUGGGAAACUGCCCGAUGGAGGGGGAUAACUACUGGAAACGGUAGCUAAUACCGCAUAACGUCGCAAGACCAAAGAGGGGGACCUUCGGGCCUCUUGCCAUCGGAUGUGCCCAGAUGGGAUUAGCUAGUAGGUGGGGUAACGGCUCACCUAGGCGACGAUCCCUAGCUGGUCUGAGAGGAUGACCAGCCACACUGGAACUGAGACACGGUCCAGACUCCUACGGGAGGCAGCAGUGGGGAAUAUUGCACAAUGGGCGCAAGCCUGAUGCAGCCAUGCCGCGUGUAUGAAGAAGGCCUUCGGGUUGUAAAGUACUUUCAGCGAGGAGGAAGGCGUUGUGGUUAAUAACCGCAACGAUUGACGUUACUCGCAGAAGAAGCACCGGCUAACUCCGUGCCAGCAGCCGCGGUAAU
rnacentral:rRNA from 1 species